rnacentral:lncRNA from 1 species
GCGCGCCCUCGGCUGCGGGGUAGCGGGCAGCCCUGCGCUGCCGGCCGCCUAGCCUGCACCCCCCGCCCUGGGAGGGAAGCCUCGCUCCAGCCGCGUCGUUUCCGCGCCGAAGUGCGAUCCGGGGCCCCGCGCUGGAGUCCCCUGCUCUCAGGCUGGUCUGGAAGGUGGUGGUGGGGUUCAGGGUCCCCGGAAAGCUGGGGUUCCAGGGUAAACACCAGUACACAAACAAAGCGGUGGGGGAGGGGAAAGAAAAAGUUUUUCCGUUUGGUGUUGGGGCUAAAAGGGUCAUGUCAGAAAGCAGUGUGCUCUAUGUGUUCUUAAUGCCUAAAGUGGGCCUUAAAACAAGGGUCCCUGUCCCCACGUUCUCUCUAAAAGUCUGCAUGAUGUCCCUCGUCAUUUCUACGGGUUAUAAGUGAGCAAGACGUUUACCACGUAUCACACUUCUGGGGGCUAUUUCAACGCCCAAGCUGGGGCUGCAGAAUGGUUUCUGUUCUAAUCCUCCCCCGCGAUUUCCACCUCUUUACACUCAACUCACAGAAAAUAGAGUCUGAUGCAUUCUGUGUUUCAUCACCGGUCAAAAGUGACUUUGAGGGUAGGGUGGAGGCCUGAGAAGGGCAGCUUCAGGCAAUAGUAAUCCUGAAAUUUAUCAUUGCUCAAAAUAAAUGUGCUCACCUUAUUAAAAAGUACAACGGAAAGCCACCUUUAAGAUAAGUAGCAACCAAGUCGUUAAACAGCAGUCUUCAAGGAAGAACUCCUGAUCUCAUAAGGCUGGAGAAAAAACGGGGUUAGCCUUUGCUGGUGAAAAAAAAAAAAAAAGACAUUCGAAACUGCAGUGAAGGGCUUUCAUAACAGAAACAUUAGCUUCAUUGUAGCUUGUCGUGGAAAACAGGGACCUUUUAAUAGGUGGUUCAAAAGCAUCAGUUAGGGCUCAACAAUUUUCCUUUUUUCCCCAAAUACUGCUUCUCCUAGCACAUUGGCCAGAUAAAACCUCCCCCCUUUCAAUGCUUCAUCUUUUUAUGAAAACACAGGAAACCAUAAACUUGAGUGAAGGCUUUGUUCAGAAAGGUGGAUGUAAGACUGAUGGAAAAUGACAUUUGGGAAAUGAUCCCCAGGUCUGUGUUAAUCUCUCAUGGAAAGCCACAGACUCACCCAAAGAUAGGCGUAUGAAGAUCGAAGCUCUCCUAGCAACAUGAAAUCCUCCACGUUGCAGCUGCUACGCCCUAGUUCUGAUUUUUACUAAGACAUUAAUGGCACAUUAUAAAUACAAAAUGUGCAAUGCAAGAAAAAUAAUACUGCUUUGAGAAAUAACUGCAUCAUUAGACUCAAUAAUUAAAGUUCCCUGAAAUUCUUCUUACAUCACGCUAUUGUGGGGAGAUGGUGAAGGGAUUGCCCAUUUCAAUUUUGGAAUAAAUAGAAGUAAUUCCUUAGUGCAUUCUGCUUAAGGCAACCAAUGAGAGAAUAUGUUAGCCAGGCUUCUAAAGGCAAUCAUGUGAUACUCCAUAUUUGCUAAAACAAGAGCUGAAUAUUUUUUUUGUUCCAUAUGCAAUUCCAAAUUUUCAGUCACAAUUUCAUGAAUAUUCAGUAUUUCUGCAUGCCCAGGAGUAAUUAGCAGACAGUGUAAAUGUGUGAAGGCCUGACACUUACACAUACAUUGCUUUUUUCUCUAUGUAAGGUGGCAGUUGCUGGAGUACCAGGGCACCAAGUGGAGGAUGUGGUAGACAGCCUCUAAGAUGCGCCCCCUGCCAAUGAUCUCUGCCUCCAGGGAGGAGCUAGAAGGCAGAGAGAAAGCCACUCAGGACUUCCCAUCCCAGAAGAUAAAGGUGAGGAAAGCAGCAGCAGCAGCCACAGGCCAGUAUUCCAGAGCAGCUUUGGGUUCCUGUCAAGACCUGCUUUGAGAAGGAGGUGGCUGUGGGGCUGGAGGGCUGGGCCUGUUCCUGAGCUGGCUGCUGGCAGCACAGCAAUGAGGCAACAUUGAGAACUGCGACACGAGGCCCAGUCCUGCUACUAAACCAACUGUGUGGACUUGCAUAGUCACUUCACCCCUCGGGCCUCCAUUUCUCCACUUUGGAAAGCAGUGUUGGGACGAUGUUAAGGGUUUGCAACCUUCCA